CUCAAGUGAAUCUGUUAAGGUUACUCAAAUCCGCUCCACGGCAGCAGAACCAGGCUAAGCUCAUUCAUUUUUAGCCUUAAUGCAGUAUGUCAUGACAUCCCGGGAACUGUUAGAGAAGCUGGCAGCAGAAACUACACCAGAAGGAAUAUCAAGGUAUUUAUGAAUUUUUAUUCGAUGAUAAUGUUGCAACCGACACAUUUUAGGACAAUAAAUAGAAUAUAGUAUAGUCUGCCUUUGAUUUAUAACCAAGCUACUAUUACCUGAGAUCCACACUGUUAACAUUGCUAGUAAUUAGCACUGAGGUCGUAUCUGUAAACUUAAUUUCUUUGUUAUUACUUGCUGUACAUUAUUAAUGUCUUUCGCUUGCGCUGCAGUGCUUAAAAUCUGCCAUCUACAUCUUACCUGCUACACUGUCUGUUAAUCCAUCUUAUCUUGUACUGAUUCAUCUAACCCAUGCAGUGUGACAGCCUAUUUUGGAGGAUAAACUGAAGUACUAUGAAACUUUCUGUUUUCAAUAAAUGAACAGGCUUCUUGCAUUCACUAAGGAUGUAUUCCAGAGUAAUUAAAUUGUGCUGAUGAAUAAGGCCCCACUGGCCCACUACCAAUGUUCCUUCAUGCUAAUAUUUUAAACAAGGACUCAAUGGACACAGUUGAAUGAUGAAUAACUAAUUAAUAAUUUUAUUCUAGGGCACUACAUUGAGUCAAUUAUUCCCUGCAAAAUUUCUGCAUGUUCAUUAUAUGCAUGCUAAAAUAAGGGUCUAAUUAUUCCAAACUUAAUAGAGUUGUUACCUUUGUUAUAAAGUCUUAAAUAGGUUUUAUGUUUGCAUAGUACUUCUUUUUACUAUAAUAUGCUUACAGCUUACUCACUCUAGAUAUAAGAUAUUUUUUCAACUCAGAACUGAUGAUUUGAUCCAUUUCAUUUAAUAGAUAGCAUGCUUUUGGCUGGCCGAACUUAUUUUCAUUUUCUUUAGGCUUUUAUUAAGAAGAAUUCAAAUUCCGAUUUUCACUGAUUGGGCUUCCAGUGUAGAGAUUUUUGCAUCUGCUACUUUGAUCAUCAUUUAUGUUAUUCCUGCAACAUUCGCACAUCUGUUGAUGAAUAAAUGCCUCUUUUUUGCGGGUAGAAUAAAUUCCUGUUGAUUCAGGAUUUCCAAAGGAAAAUUUAAUGAGUACUCAAACAAGAUUGAAGAACUUGCUGCAAGGCUUGCUCCCAAAGUGGUAUGCUUUUUGUUUUUUUUGUCCUGUAAGUCCCACUACUGUAUAAAGUACAUCUUUCAAGAUUCUACAAUCAUGUGUUCAGGUGUUUUUCAAAGGCUGGCUAUUUGAUGGGCUAUAAAUGCAUGGGUUCUUUAGAGUUGUUCUUGCAUGCAUACCACUUUUGAAAUUGGUUUAUCAUAUCUGUGUAUACAAACUAUUAAAUUUGAUGGUUCUUAUCCAAAUCAAUUCCUGCAAUACCUGUUAAAAUUUCAUGUUUCAAUUGUUAUUAGAAUUUUUCUUAAUUUUUUAUUAGAAAUGUCCUUUUGAAAUUAUUAUUAGAAAAGUAUCAGAGAAAGUACUCAUAGUCCAGGUCCUGUGCAAGGCUCAGGUGUUACACUAAAUUAUUUGGAAAUUGACUGUCAUAUCAUAAUAUUAUAAAAAUGACUAAUGAUUGGAUUUUUGUUAUAUCUUCAUGAAAUGCUAAUAAAUGUUGCUAAUGGUGAUGGAAAUCUAUUAUCAAUUUCAGUUGCUACGAUAGCUAUGUAUGGUGUGCAUGGAGUUUGCAUCCUUCUAACUCCUUAGAAUGAUGCCAGUCUUCCAUGUAUCCAGUAUUAUUCAUAUCAUGACUAAAGAUUAUGCAGUACUUCACUAUUUUGUGCCUACUAUCUGUUGCACAUUUUAUGACAAUCAUUCGGUGCUGUUUGCAUUGCGGUUUUAAUUUUUUGAAAUGUACAUGUGCCUGAACUGUGACCUUUGUUUCUUUUGGGUUUCAUCUCUAGCCUACCCCAACUUGCUUGGCAAAAAAGGCUAUGUUGUUGUUGUUGUACAUGAUGCCCCGCCAUUUAGGUGGAAAAGUUUUAUUGAUAAUCUGAUGGCAACACAUAUAAGUACUUUUUUACAACUACAUCUUUAUUGGUUUAGCCAGAUGGUGCGCUAUAUGAGAUAAAAGAAGAUUGCCCAUCCGAAGUGGAACAAGUAGGAAGUCCAAUAGAUUUAUCCUCAGAAUUAAGGAGGAGAUUGACUUUUCAAGUAGAGGCUGGACAAACUGUCAGUGAGAAAGAAAGAGAUGUUGGAGCACCUAUUAGAUUGAAUGCAGAAGCUCAAGCUCAAAUUGAAAAACUUAGAAAACUGCAAGAAAGCUUUACUGAUGACAUGGUUGAAUUUGCUCGCCAGCUGAAGGAGACCAGUCUUUUAAUGAACCAAUCUGUGCAGGAGACUGAGAAGAUACUUGACUCAACAGAGAGGGUUGUAGAGCAUAGCUUGGCAGGCACCGGCCAUGCUAAUGUGUGUGCAGCUGAGGUGUAUUCUUUGACCUCCAAGACAACAUGUUUCCAAUGGCUUCUGCUUUUUGUAAUGACAUGCAUGUUUCUCAUGGUGGUUCUGCUCAUACGGAUUACAUGAGACCCCCGGGGCACACAUACAGCACAUGAUUUAUUUUUCUUCUUGAAUAUGUUGUUCCAGUCUUGACGGAGACCAUGAAAGAUGCUACCGCGUUACCUAACAAAGUCCCAACUGACACUGAUAUAUAUAUUCGUUAGCAGCUACUGAGUAGAAGAAAUGUGACCAAUUACUGGAUGUGAUUAUACCGUAACUUCAGGAAUGGGAAGCUAAAUACAUUCUGGAGCCAGUUUUUAUGUUGCUUUGUACUCCAUGUAGUAUAACAGGCCAUGCUCUGGAAAUAUACGUUUCCAUCUAAUUGUUUUA